ACGGCUCACCAAGUCUGCGAUCUUUAUGGGGCCUGAGAGGGUGAUCCCCCACACUGGUACUGAGACACGGACCAGACUCCUACGGGAGGCAGCAGUGAGGAAUAUUGGAUAAUGGGUGAGAGCCUGAUCCAGCCAUCCCGCGUGAAGGACGACGGCCCUAUGGGUUGUAAACUUCUUUUGUAUAGGGAUAAACCUACUCUCGUGAGAGUAGCUGAAGGUACUAUACGAAUAAGCACCGGCUAACUCCGUGCCAGCAGCCGCGGUAAUACGGAGGGUGCAAGCGUUAUCCGGAUUUAUUGGGUUUAAAGGGUCCGUAGGCGGAUUUGUAAGUCAGUGGUGAAAUCUCACAGCUUAACUGUGAAACUGCCAUUGAUACUGCAAGUCUUGAGUGUUGUUGAAGUAGCUGGAAUAAGUAGUGUAGCGGUGAAAUGCAUAGAUAUUACUUAGAACACCAAUUGCGAAGGCAGGUUACUAAGCAACAACUGACGCUGAUGGACGAAAGCGUGNGGAGCGAACAGGAUUANAUACCCUGGUAGUCCACGCCGUAAACGAUGCUAACUCGUUUUUGGGCUUUCGGGUUCAGAGACUAAGCGAAAGUGAUAAGUUAGCCACCUGGGGAGUACGAACGCAAGUUUGAAACUCAAAGGAAUUGACGGGGGCCCGCACAAGCGGUGGAUUAUGUGGUUUAAUUCGAUGAUACGCGAGGAACCUUACCAAGGCUUAAAUGGGAAAUGACAGGUUUAGAAAUAGACUUUUCUUCGGACAUUUUUCAAGGUGCUGCAUGGUUGUCGUCAGCUCGUGCCGUGAGGUGUUAGGUUAAGUCCUGCAACGAGCGCAACCCCUGUCACUAGUUGCCAUCAUUAAGUUGGGGACUCUAGUGAGACUGCCUACGCAAGUAGAGAGGAAGGUGGGGAUGACGUCAAAUCAUCACGGCCCUUACGCCUUGGGCCACACACGUAAUACAAUGGCCGGUACAGAGGGCAGCUACACAGCGAUGUGAUGCAAAUCUCGAAAGCCGGUCUCAGUUCGGAUUGGAGUCUGCAACUCGACUCUAUGAAGCUGGAAU
rnacentral:rRNA from 1 species